CCUUAGCUCUAGCAGGCUGGUGUGGAGGCUCCCAGUAGGCACAUCCUUGGCUGAGGACGUCUCCGAGGACUCGUCCAUGGAAGAGUCAGUGGACAGCGCCGAGUCUGUGACAUCGUUUCCCCGGAGAUGGGAACAGAGCGAUCGAACUUCACACAGGCUGGACGGGUGCGGGGUGAGGCUUUGGAGGCUGUGCUCCUCCGUCAACUCCUCCAGCCGAGCAGUCAGCUGCCUGUGAGACAUCUGAACCUCCUGGAGCUCCAGCUGGCUCUGCCGCAACUUGACAGAACAGAGGAGGCAAAACUGGGACUUAACAGUGCAAAGUACCUGUAGAGGUCUGACGGGUCAGGUCCUUCUCGUGACACUGCCUCUCAAACACCAGCGUCCUCUCUCUGAGGUCGUCCACCGUAUUCUGCAGCAGCUCGUUCUCCUCCAGCAUGGCGUGCACCCGGCGUUCCAGCUCCAUCUUCCUCUCCGACAGCAUCUUAAUCUAACAUGUCAAACAGCACCAGUUAGUUGCUGCGCUGCGGGAAAUAGGCAUUAAUUGGAGAAACUGAGGAUUCUUUAGAUUUCCUGGUGAAUAGCGGACAGAUGGGAAGCAAUGGACCUGAUUAAAGGCUACAUUUUGUUGUUUUUCUGACUCUGAGGCAAGCUGGGCUCUUACACAAGAUUAAAAAGUACUCCCACUGGCCUUAAGAAUGUAUGUUGCCUAGCACCGGUGUAGAUGUAAGUUGCCACCCUCGUCUACAAGAAUGUCUUGGUGAUAAGUUAGCAUCUCUACCAAGCUUGAUAUCAGCGUACUCCUUACCAUGCAUGUGGAACGGCCUUCUACUGAAGGCAAGCAUUGCAGCAACACCACAUAUUCCUCAUGAAUUGUUUUCCAUUGGAGCUGCUUGAGCAGCUUUCCCCAUUAAACAAACAUCAGUUCAUUUUUAUCCCUCCUGCUUUUGACCUACAUCUGCUAACCUACUUCAGUUACCAGCUUACAUGUGGAUCUGUUGUUUUCACUACCACAUGAGCAUCCACAUUGCCAGGUUCUGGAUAUUUUUGUGCUGCCAUAGUCUCUGUCUUCACGCAAAUAGGGCAAAAAGCCAUUAGUCAUCAGCUCAUGCCAUACAAAUGCAAAGCGUUGGAAAAGUGGGAGCACCCAGACAUUGCGGUAUCUCAGCUAAAUAUAGAGCAGUAGCCUUUUCUCCCAAUUAUAGCGCAGGCUCUGCAGUCUGGGUGUUUUCUGCCUGGCUUUGAAGAGAAGCUACAGGGAAAUCUGAAUUGUCGUUAUGUUCUAUCAG